CCUGACUUGGUGUAGUAGUAGCACGCCGAUAGUCACUAGGAAAGCAUAUUGCGUGGACCUAGCCCUUCGGGGGGAGGAGGCUCAGGUUCGAUUCCUGAAGUUGGGA